UACAGAGGGUGCGAGCGUUAAUCGGAAUUACUGGGCGUAAAGCGCGCGUAGGCGGCUUUGCAAGUCGGGUGUGAAAUCCCCAGGCUUAACCUGGGAACUGCAUUCGGGACUGCAUUGCUAGAGUAUGGGAGAGGGAAGUGGAAUUUCCGGUGUAGCGGUGAAAUGCGUAGAUAUCGGAAGGAACAUCAGUGGCGAAAGCGACUUCCUGGACCAAUACUGACGCUCAUGUGCGAAAGCGUGGGGAGCAAACAGG
rnacentral:rRNA from 1 species